UACGGAGGGUGCAAACGUUGCUCGGAAUCAUUGGGCGUAAAGCGCACGUAGGCGGUCGGCUAUGUCGGAUGUGAAAGCCUCGGGCUUAACCCGAGAAGGGCAUCCGAAACUGGCCGGCUUGAGUACGGAAGAGGGGCUCGGAAUUCCCGGUGUAGAGGUGAAAUUCGUAGAUAUCGGGAGGAACACCAGUGGCGAAGGCGGAGACCUGGGCCGAUACUGACGCUGAGGUGCGAAAGCGUGGGGAGCAAACAGG
rnacentral:rRNA from 1 species